AGCUCCAAUAGCGUAUAUUAACGUUGUUUUGGUUAAGAAGCUCGUAGUUGGAUUUCUGCCGAGGACGGCCGGUCCACCCUGCGGGUGAGUAUGUGGGACGACCCGGGCACCUUCUCGGAGAACGUGUCUGCACUUGACUGUGUGGUGCGGUAUCGAGAGUUUUUAUUUGGAGGAAAUUAGAAUGUUUCAAGCCGGCCCACGCUUUGAAUACAUUUACAUGGCAUAAUAAGGUAGGACCUCGUUUCUACGUUGUUGGUUUCUAGAGCUGAGGUAAUGCUCAAUAGGGAUAGUGUGGGGCAUUCGUAUUUAAUUGUCAGAGGUGAAAUUCGUGGAUUUGUUAAACACGGGCUUCUGCGAAAGCAUUUGCCAAUGCUGUCUUCA
rnacentral:rRNA from 1 species